rnacentral:lncRNA from 1 species
AGGAGAGUGAAGGCGGCCUCUGGGCACACAGCAGAGCCCGUUAGAUGGCAGCACGCGCACGGUCUCAGCUUGUUUCAAAUCCUGCUGCUUGUACUCGGAGCCCCUGAACCCCAGAUGUUCUAUUCGAUGGAUGUGCAGUUAUGUACUGCAUUGGUUGUUCUUUGUGGAGGGGACGAGUGCCAGGCACCUUUAUUCAGCCAUAUUGAAGCCCCUCCCAUCCAUUAAUACUAUGCAAGAUGGAAAAUUCUUAAAUGUUUUAAAUGAAGGCUGAAGAGAACCAGUAAAGAAAGAUUUAAAGUAUGAAGGAGCAAUAAUAUGCCCCCACCAAUGUCUUUUCCUACUAAACUCAUCAAAACAAGUCACAGAGAAACAAUGGGCAAAAUGUAUUCACUUUUUAAAAAUCUUCACUUAAUACAUGGUUUUGUUGCAGUGUUCUUUUAUAUAGGAAGUCAAAUUUGUAACUUUUAAAAAUAAAUGAGAUUUUUGUUUAUUUGUUGUCUCGAAAACGUUUACAAAACUCACUGAAAGCAUAAACAAAGAUUUUUUUUGUACAUUUAAAAUAAUUUUAGAAAAACUAUCACAUAUGACUAGGACAUACAUUUACUAUGAAUCACAGCUUAUAUGUACAGCAAAUGUACAAUCCUUUUAAUUUGUCUUCAGUUAAUCUGACCUUUCUAAUCUCCCUAGUUUUCAUACACUAGAAAUAAAAAUAACUUUGUGUCUUACCUUAUUUAAGAUCUGAUGAUGACUGUCCUUCUUGGAAUAAUAGCAGUCUCUCACAUCCCAGUUAACCAAAUACAGACUUUGGCCUCCAAUAUCAAGGAUCCCCCAAGUGGAGAAGAGAUGUUAACAAGCAAACAGUGGAGUCAGAAGACACUGGGCCAGAGAUGUCAACCCUUAAACUCUACAAUGAUAUCCGUCCCCCUGUACACACUUCCCAGCCAGGGAAGGAAGAGGUGGAAGAGAAAUUGAAAACUAAGCUUUAUUUUUCUAAACAGAUGAAAUUGAAAACUAAGCUUUGUUUUACUAAACAAAUUGAGAAAUAAUAAAAGGUAAAUUAACAGAGCUGACAUGGUGGCGCAUACCUGUAACUCCAGCUAUUCAGGAGCCUGAGAUGGGAAGAUCACUUGGACCCAGGAGUUUGAGACCAGCCUGGGCAACAUAGUGAGUCCCCAUCUCUACCAAAAAAAUUAGAAAUUAGCUGGGCAUGGUGGUGCAUGCCUGUAGUUCCAAAUACUCAGGAGGUUAAG